GGAAUCAAUCAGCUGGCAAGAGCUACAAAUCAGGAAUAUUGUUCUGCAUGUGACCAAUAGGAUAAUUGUAAAUAUGAGCUGUAUUCUAGAUCAUUCUUUUUCUUGUAUAUAUACACUCUGUAUAGCAACGAUUCACAUAUGAGAAAAUACAUUUUUUCUUCAUUUUCUGCUCUGUUUUAAUGGAAGAAAGCUUCUUCCUCAUCUUUUUUUAUUCUCUAUUCAUGGUAUCAGAGCAGUAACGAUCGCGCUUCUGUAAUAUUGUUUAACACUUCCUCUUUUUUUUUUUAUAUUUUAUUUAUUUUUUUUUUGUAUUUCUCUUGCUGUUGCUUCAUCAUGGCCGAAAAUUCCAAGAAAGUGAUGCAGCAUGAUCAACUUUCCCUGCUUAACUUUGACCACCCAGGCGUGUCGCUGGUUAAUGUCCCUCUAUCUUACCUGAAGCCAGUCAAUGUUAAUUGCAUUGGGGGCCAAAGACAAACUUUGUUUUGUUAAUGAUGAAUGCUAGAAACCGGAGGAUGGAUCUCCAGAGUCUGAGAAAUGGCUCAAGGUUGAUAGCAUGGUCAUUUCAUAGAUCUUAAGCUCGAUGUCAAAAGAAAUAGUUACAGCUUUUCUAUAAGUGUCAUCAGCUAAAAAUCUCUGGGAAGAACUUGCUCAGAGAUUUAGUGUAUGCAAUGGACCGUUGUUGUAUCAAAUCAACAGAGAAUUAUGCUCACUCAGUCAAGGUAAUAUGCCACUUAUAACUUACUUUACUAAACAAGUUGUGGGAUGAGUUAGCUUGCCUUAAACCAUUCCCAGUAUGUGAAUGUGGAGCAUCAAAAGAAAUUUACUAAAAUGGAAGAAAACACCAAAAUGAUUCUGUUUCUUAUGGGAUUGAACCUUUCAUAUGACCAUGUCCGAAAUGGAACCAAAUUCUUUUAAUGGAACCAUUCCCACCUAUCAACAAAGCCUACUCCAUGGUCCUGCAAGUUGAAACACAAAGAGAGGUUAAUACUUUUACAAUUGAUAACAUAAGAGUCUUCUAUUGCCAGGAUGGCCAAGGGACCAGCACUUAAGAAACAUUAUGAAGGCGGCAAGAAUCAAUUUAAGAAAAGAGAUGGGCUCAAGAAGGAAGAUAAAUGCUGUGAGCAUUGCAAGACCACUGGACACUUAAAGGAGAGCUGCUUUAAAAUCAUUGGGUACCCAGAAUGGUUCAAACAAAGAAAGGCCCAAACCAUCUGCUAAUCUUGCUGAUAGUACUUCUCUAGAAGAAACAACAAAUGAACCUGCAGGGCACAUCAAACAACCUGAUGAAUGGAACAAUGAAGCCCCUUACCAACUUAAUUCAACAAGAGGUUAUGAAAGCAUUGAAAGGUAAAAUGAUUCACGAAGCUGGCUGUGUGGAUUUCCCUAGGUUCACUGGACCCUUGGAGUAGGAAAUUACUAGCUAUUGGAAGGAUGGACAGAGGAUUAUAUAAGCUAACCACCGAUUCGUUCAACCAAGUUCAACCUCCUUUUGUGUCCACUCCAUCUAAUGACUUAUAUCAGCAAUCAAAUAAUUGUAUUGAAUCCUUAAACGUAACCAGUAGUACCUGUGAUUGCUAUCUAUGGCACAUGAGGCUCGGACAUGCUUCUGAGUCUAAACUUACUCAUAUUGUUGAUAUAAAGUACAGUGAAGAAAAAUUUGAUUGUGGAAUUUGUCCUUUGGCCAAACAACAAAGGCUACCUUUUCUUGCAAGUACCACCAAUAGCUCAACCGUAUUUCAACUAUUGCAUCUUUGACUUAUGAGGCC